CCCAGUUCCCAGGCCUGGAAUCAGAGCCUCAGUAGCCCAGCCGCGAAGAUACAACGGGAAAUGGGGGAUGGCAAUGAGCGCACAGGGCUACUCUGUAGUUCCUAUUACACAAUCGGGCAGAUUCAGUGGACAAAAACCUGGAAUAAGUGGAUUGCCAUAAAAGGAAAAUCUAGAGGAAAAUCUAGACAUUUUCGGCCUGUAUCCUCUGGAGUUUUGAAAAGAAAGAGGAGACUAAAUUGAAACAUGAAAGAUCCUGAGGGGACAUGACCAGAUGCAUGGUGAAAACGUGGUCCCUCUUCUGGGAGGAUCUCGAACUGAGGGUCAUUGUUUAAAGCACAACUGCUGCUCACAGUCCAGACGUCACUGUUCAACUCUCAGAUUCAAGCCAAAAAUUAUUUAAAAACUCAGAGAGGGUGCGAACACUGGACACAGUGGAAAGACCUC